UUCAUUCCCUCCAGAGAGGGAAAAGAGGGGCUGGAAAUUGAGUUCAAUCACCAUUGUCAAUGAUUUAGUCAGCUAUGCCUACGUAAUGAAGCUAUUAUAAAAACCCAAUAGAAAAGCAUUUUCAGAGCUUCCAGGCCCCAACCACUGCUUCUUUUGUGUCAAUCAGAAAUCGCUAGAUUAUACAGCAUUAUUAAAGAACACAACCUUGCAGUGACUCAUCACAACGAAGUUUAUUUCUUGUUCAACGUGCCCUACAGUCUGGGCACCCCUCCAAAGCAGCUGUUCACUAUGUGGCAGCUCAGAAUCCCAGGCUGCUUCAGUCUUAUGGCACCUACCUCUCAACACAAUUCUCCACGGUCCACUCUGAAGGAAAUGAAAGCGUGGAAGAGUCUGCAUCAGGAAUCCAACAGAGUGACCUCAGAGAUCAUGUGUUGAGAAUGGCAGCCCCACGAGAUUAAAUGAACCUGGAUCUACAAGUCUCUGUUCCUGGAGGAAAGCCGUAGGCCACCUGUAUUGGACUUUGUAUGAGAGAAAAAAAAAACUUAUAUGAUGCUAAGCUAUAUAGCUUUGGGAUUUUUUGGGAUUUGUUUAUUGCCCCACUUCACAAUCUCAAAUAUUCUUUACUGAAAUAUACUUGACAUAUAUUAGUUUCACAUGUAUGACACAAUGAUUUGAUAUUUGUACAUAUUGUAAAAUAACCACAAUGACUCCUGUUAAAAUUCAUCAUCACACAAAGUUAUAAUUUUUUUUCUUAGGAUGAGAACUUUUAAGAUCUGUUUCUAUUAGUAACUUUCAAGUAUACAGUACAGUAUUAACUACAGUCACCAUGCUGUACAUUAUAUCCGCAGGACUUAGUGAUUUUAUAACUGGAAAGUUGUACCUUUUGGCCACCUUCUCUCAUUUUGCCCACCUGCCACCCUCUGGCUCUGGCAACCACCAAUCUGUUCUUUAUGUCUGUAAUUUUGGAUGUUUUUCCAAUUUGUUUGUUUUAGAUUGCACAUAUGUGUAAGAUCAUAUGGUAUUUGUCUUUCUCUGUCUUAGUUAUGCCUUUGGCAUAAUGCCCU